rnacentral:rRNA from 1 species
CGAACGCUGGCGGCAUGCCUAACACAUGCAAGUCGAACGAAGGCUUCGGCCUUAGUGGCGCACGGGUACGUAACGCGUGGGAAUCUACCCUUAGGUUCGGAAUAACUCAGGGAAACUUGAGCUAAUACCGGAUAAUGUCUUCGGACCAAAGAUUUAUCGCCUUUGGAUGAGCCGCGUAGGAUUAGUCUAGUUGGUGGGUAAAAGGACCUACCAAGGCGACGAUCCUUAGCUGGUCUGAGAGGAUGAUCAGCCACACUGGGACUGAGACACGGCCCGACGACUCCGUACGGAGGGCAG